AUGGAAAAUGGCAAAAAUCAUCGUAUUAUUGAGAUAGGGUUGAAAGAGAAUGUGACGUUUACGCUCCGUAUCUCUCAGCCUUCAGCGAGUUUGAUUCACAAACUCCUUCUCAGUUUCAAAGCUCUGAUCACCCCUCCUCUUCUUCAUGGAUUCGUUCAAACUGAGAACCAGAAGGUUAUUCAGAUUAAAGGUGCAGUGGUAUGA